rnacentral:rRNA from 1 species
AUUGAACGCUGGCGGCAGGCCUAACACAUGCAAGUCGAGCGGAUGAGAGGAGCUUGCUUCUCGAUUCAGCGGCGGACGGGUGAGUAAUGCCUAGGAAUCUGCCUGGUAGUGGGGGACAACGUUUCGAAAGGAACGCUAAUACCGCAUACGUCCUACGGGAGAAAGCAGGGGACCUUCGGGCCUUGCGCUAUCAGAUGAGCCUAGGUCGGAUUAGCUAGUUGGUGAGGUAAUGGCUCACCAAGGCGACGAUCCGUAACUGGUCUGAGAGGAUGAGCAGUCACACUGGAACUGAGACACGGUACAGACUCCUACGGGAGGCAGCAGGGGGGAAUAUUGGACAAUGGGCGAAAGCCUGAUCCAGCCAUGCCGCGUGUGUGAAGAAGGUCUUCGGAUUGUAAAGCACUUUAAGUUGGGAGGAAGGGUUGUAGAUUAAUACUCUGCAAUUUUGACGUUACCGACAGAAUAAGCACCGGCUAACUCUGUGCCAGCAGCCGCCGUAACAC